GAUGAAGAACGCAGCGAAAUGCGAUACGUAAUGUGAAUUGCAGAAUUCAGUGAAUCAUCGAAUCUUUGAACGCAUAUUGCGCUCUCUGGUAUUCCGGAGAGCAUGCUUGUUUGAGUAUCAGUAAACACCUCAACUCCCUUUUCUUUUUUGAAAUUGGAGCUGGACUUGAGUGAUCCCAACGCUUUCUUCCAAGAAAGUGGCGGGUUGCUUGAAAUUCAGGUGCAGCUGAACUUUUCUCUGAGCUAUAAGCAUAUCUAUUUAGUCUGCCUAAAAAACAGAUUAUUACCUUUGCUGCAGCUAACAUAAAGGAGACUAGUUCUUGUGCUGACUGAUGCAGGAUUCACAGAGACAGCUUCGGCUGACUUUGUAAACUCGAUCUCAAAUCAAGUAAGACUACCCGCUGAACUUAAGCAUAUCAAUAAGCGGAGGA
rnacentral:misc_RNA from 1 species